rnacentral:tRNA from 1 species
AGAGAGUUGGCUGAGUGGUUUAAAGCGGCUAACUUGAGUUUAGCUAAAGGUAAAACUUUCAUA